CAAUUUAAACAACGAAGAGUUUGAUCCUGGCUCAGGAUNAACGCUAGCGACAGGCUUAACACAUGCAAGUCGAGGGGCACGCGCGRGUAGCAAUACCGNGNGCUGGCNACCGGCGCACGGGUGAGUAACGCGUAUGCAACUUGCCUAUCAGAGGGGGAUAACCCGGCGAAAGUCGGACUAAUACCGCAUGAAGCAGGGAUCCCGCAUGGGAAUAUUUGCUAAAGAUUCAUCGCUNAUAGAUAGGCAUGCGUUCCAUUAGGCAGUUGGCGGGGUAACGGCCCACCAAACCGACGAUGGAUAGGGGUUCUGAGAGGAAGGUCCCCCACAUUGGUACUGAGACACGGACCAAACUCCUACGGGAGGCAGCAGUGAGGAAUAUUGGUCAAUGGCCGAGAGGCUGAACCAGCCAAGUCGCGUGAGGGAUGAAGGUUCUAUGGAUCGUAAACCUCUUUUAUAAGGGAAUAAAGUGCGGGACGUGUCCNGUUUUGUAUGUACCUUAUGAAUAAGGAUCGGCUAACUCCGUGCCAGCAGCCGCGGUAAUACGGAGGAUCCGAGCGUUAUCCGGAUUUAUUGGGUUUAAAGGGUGCGUAGGCGGCCUUUUAAGUCAGCGGUGAAAGUCUGUGGCUCAACCAUAGAAUUGCCGUUGAAACUGGGGNGCUUGAGUAUGUUUGAGGCAGGCGGAAUGCGUGGUGUAGCGGUGAAAUGCAUAGAUAUCACGCAGAACCCCGAUUGCGAAGGCAGCCUGCCAAGCCAUUACUGACGCUGAUGCACGAAAGCGUGGGGAUCAAACAGGAUUAGAUACCCUGGUAGUCCACGCAGUAAACGAUGAUCACUAGCUGUUUGCGAUACACUGUAAGCGGCACAGCGAAAGCGUUAAGUGAUCCACCUGGGGAGUACGCCGGCAACGGUGAAACUCAAAGGAAUUGACGGGNGCCNGCACAAGCGGAGGAACAUGUGGUUUAAUUCGAUGAUACGCGAGGAACCUUACCCGGGUUUGAACGCAUUCGGACCGAGGUGGAAACACCUUUUCUAGCAAUAGCCGUUUGCGAGGUGCUGCAUGGUUGUCGUCAGCUCGUGCCGUGAGGUGUCGGCUUAAGUGCCAUAACGAGCGCAACCCUUGCCACUAGUUACUAACAGGUUAGGCUGAGGACUCUGGUGGNACUGCCAGCGUAAGCUGCGAGGAAGGCGGGGAUGACGUCAAAUCAGCACGGCCCUUACAUCCGGGGCGACACACGUGUUACAAUGGCGUGGACAAAGGGAGGCCACCUGGCGACAGGGAGCGAAUCCCCAAACCACGUCUCAGUUCGGAUCGGAGUCUGCAACCCGACUCCGUGAAGCUGGAUUCGCUAGUAAUCGCGCAUCAGCCAUGGCGCGGUGAAUACGUUCCCGGGCCUUGUACACACCGCCCGUCAAGCCAUGGGAGCCGGGGGUACCUGAAGUCCGUAACCGAAAGGAUCGGCCUAGGGUAAAACUGGUGACUGGGGCUAAGNNGUAACAAGNNNNNNGUACCGGAAGNNNNNNNNNGAACACCUCCUUUCU
rnacentral:rRNA from 2 species